AAGUAUGGCAUACACCAGCAAGAUGAUCGUACUUGCUACAAGAGAGGAGGAAAUUCUACAAGGCAGGGAUGAGUCAGGAGGAUAUGAUACCAAAGGAAAUGAGCUAAUCACGAAGAAAUGCUUGCUGAGUGACUCCGUCUAUUUGAGAGGUGAAAACUGCGUACAGGUUUUUGAUGUUAAGUACAUGAAGAGCAUCACCAGGUUGAUCCUGAAAGCUUUGGCUUCCUUCCUCCUGGAGCCAUGCAUUACCGAGGAAGAAUUCCAGGCUCCCCCAGAGAAAAGCUGCACAGAGACACCCUGGAAGAUGAGAAAGCAGAUGGAGUGAAGCCUGUGGAGGAGCACUCGGGGAUCAAACCUAACAGGCUACCUGGAGCUGAACUUCCCCUUGACUGUAGCGUCAGAAGUCGCAGAAGAGACACCUACAAACUAUGGCAAGAUAAAAUAAACUCAUUGCUGUUUUAGCUCACUAAAGUUCUAGACAUACUGCAUAGUAUAACUAGCCCACCCUAUUUUGAGUGUGGAUAUUUAGCAAUAUUCAGCAAGAGACCCUGGGAGGUCUGGACCCAUGGCAGGAUCUGGGUGAAAUAAAUCAACAUGAUGAUUGUCAGCGAUGGAGGGAAAUGCCAAAAGUAGACCAGCAACCCAGAAAAAGAAGACAUAAUCACAUCAUGCUUUAUUCAAAAAGAGCCAAAUACUACACAAAUUUACAUAGACAGUUCCUCAAAAGAGUGCAUCCAUUUCCUCUUUUUAAAAAUUAUCCCAGAGGGAAGAGGA
rnacentral:lncRNA from 1 species